UUAACUUCUAUUUGGAUUAUAGUAAAUCCUAACAAGCGUAAUAUAGCUGUUCAUUAUUAUAUAAACAUUAGGGUAUUAUUUACAGUUCUUAAAAAAAUAAUUAUAUAACAUUUUAAAUUAUAGAUCAGCAGCAUUCACUGGUUUCCUACAGGAGGAA